UACGGAGGGUGCAAGCGUUAUCCGGAUUCACUGGGUUUAAAGGGUGCGUAGGUGGGCAGGUAAGUCAGUGGUGAAAUCUCCGGGCUUAACUCGGAAACUGCCAUUGAUACUAUCUUUCUUGAAUACCGUGGAGGUCAGCGGAAUAUGUCAUGUAGCGGUGAAAUUCGUAGAUAUCGGGAGGAACACCAGUGGCGAAGGCGGCGAUCUGGGAAGAUACUGACGCUGAGGUGCGAAAGCGUGGGGAGCAAACAGG
rnacentral:rRNA from 1 species